GUAUAGCGCGGUCUGUGGCUUCAGAGGGUGGAAGCCCCAACCCUUGGCAGCUUCCACAUGAUGUUGAACCUGCAGGUGCAUAGAAGUCAAGAAUUGAGGUUUGGGAACCUCUGCCUAGAUUUCAGAAGAUGUAUGGAAAUGCCUAGAUGCCCAGGCAAAAGUUUGCUGCAGGGGUGGGGCCCUCGGAGAACCUCUGCUAGGGCAGUGUGGAAGGGAAAUGUGGGGUCAGAGCCACACACAGAGUCCCUACUGGGGCACUGCCUAGUGGAGCUUUGAGAAGAGGGCCACCGUUCUCCAGACCCCAGAAUGGGAUCCACUGAUAGCUUGCAUCGUGCACCUGGAAAAGCCACAGACCCUCAACACCAGCCCAUGAAAGCAGCUGGGAAGGAGGCUGUACCCUGCAAAGCCACAGGGGCAGAGCUGCCCAGGAUCAUUGCAGGCUGUACCCUGCAAAAGCCGCAGGGGUGGAACCCACCUCUUACAUCAGUGUGACCUGGAUGUGAGACCUGAAGUCAAAGAUCAUUUUGGAGCUUUACAAUUUGACUGCCCUGCUGGAUUUCAGACAUGCAUGGGCCCUGUAACCCCUUUGUUUUGGCCAAUUUCUCUCAUUUGGAAUGGCUGUGUUUACCCAAUAUUUGUACCCCCAUUGUAUCUAGGAAGUAACUAGCUUGCUUUUGAUUUUAUAGGUUCAUAGGUGAAGGGACAUACCUUGCCUCAGAUGAGACUUUGUACUGUGAACUUUUGGGUUAAUGCUGAAGUAAGUCUUUGGUGGACUGUUGGGAAGGUAUGAUUGGUUUUGAAAUGUGAGGACAUAAGAUUUGGAGAGGUCAGGGGCAGAAUGAUAUGGUUUGGCUGCAUCCCCACCCAAAUCUCAACUUGAAUUGUAUCUCCCAGAUUUCCCACAUGUUGCGGGAGGGACCCGGGGAAGGUAAUUGAAUCAUGGGGCUGGUCUUUCCAUGCUAUUCUCGUGAUAUUAAGUCUCACAAGAUCUGAUGGGUUUAUCAGGAGUUUGCUCUUUUUCUCUUGCCCUCACCAUGUAAGAAGUGUCUUGCCUCCCACGAUGAUUUUGAGGCCUCCCUAGCCAUGUGGAACUUUUAAGUCCAAUUAAACCUUUUUCUUCCCCAUCUCGGGUAUGUCUUCAUCAGCAGCGUGAAGAGACUGAUAAAAGCAGAAGGAGGCCAAGUGUGGUGGCUCGCACCUGUAAUCCCAGCACUUUGGGAGGCCGAGGGCAGAUCAUAAGGUCAAGAGAUUGAGACCAUCCUGGCCAACAUGGUGAAACCCCAUCUCUACUAAAAAUACAAAAAAUAGCUGGCCGUGGUGGCGCAUACCUGUAGUCCUAGCUAAUAGGAAAGCUGAGGCAGGAGAAUCACUUGAACCCGGGAGGUUGCAGUGAGUCGAGAUCAUGCCACUGCACCACAGCCUGGGUAACAAGACUCCAUCUCCAAAAAAAUAAAAUAAAAAAGCUGAAGGAAGAACGAGGGAGAGAAUGAAUGAGAAGCAAUGAAGCAUAAUGCUGCACGAUGGAAGCUAAGUGGGCUGGGUGCAGUGGCUCACAGCUGUAAUCCCAGCACUUUGGGAAGCCAAGUCAGGAGGAUCGCUUGAGCCCAGAAGUUUGAGACCAGCCCAGGCUACAUGGAGAAACCCUGCCUCUACUAAAAACAGAAAAAUUGGCCAGGCGCGGUGCCUCACGCCUGUAACCCCAGCACUUUGGGAGGCCGAGGUGGGCGGAUCACAAGGUCAGAUCAAGACCAUCCUGGCUAACACGGUGAAACCCUGUCAUGGCCGGGCGCGGUGGCUCAAGCCUGUAAUCCCAGCACUUUGGGAGGCCGAGACGGGUGGAUCAUGAGGUCAGGAGAUCGAGACCAUCCUGGCUAACACGGUGAAACCCCGUCUCUACUAAAAAAUACAAAAAACUAGCUGGGCGAGGUGGCGGGCACCUGUAGUCCCAGCUACUCGGGAGGCUGAGGCAGGAGAAUGGCGUAAACCCGGGAGGCGGAGCUUGCAGUGAGCCGAGAUCUGGCCACUGCACUCCAGCCUAGGUGACAGAGCGAGACUCCGUCUCAAAAAAAAAAA
rnacentral:lncRNA from 1 species